rnacentral:lncRNA from 1 species
GAACCUGAUCCUCGGUAGCGAAGGGCUGGAGGCAAACACCGAGCUCCCCCUGAGCCGCCUGGGAGCAGGGAGGGUUCUGCUACCCUGAGGGGCCCUCCCCGCGGGGCAGAGGGGUUUCCUCAGCAGUGCCCCGGAGCAGGGACCGCGCCAGCCAGCAGAAACAGCUAGUUGUUGUCUGCAGUGAAGAAUAAUUGGAAGCAUGGUGCCUGUUUCUUUUCCUGUGGGAGGAAGUCACAGCAUCUACUUCUGAAUCUGUGCUUGCCUUGAGGAAAAACGGCAUGGCACAGGAAUGUGGACGCUUUCAACCAGAGGAUUCUGUACGACGGUGUCGGCACACAGAGUGUUCCACUGACUGACCUCUUUUUGUUUUCAAAUGAAGAGGAGCCAAGAAUAGGACAGCUUGGGAAGCUCAUCCUCGUCUACGGCCAAACGUUGGUUUCUCAUUUCUAGAAGAUGAAAGAUGUGAUGACUCAGGAAAAACUGGAAUCUUAGUAACUGUGGUGGGCAUUGAGCCUUGCCGUCCACAAGAGAAAGCUUGCUGCUCGAGAUGUGAGUCUUCAGAUGUUCCUGCCGCCAUAUCUGACAGCUGCUGCCAAGAUUCCCUGGUGGGAUGGACUCUUAUACCUCAACAACCAGAAGCCCAAGUAAACUCUUCUAUAAAUUGAAUGACUCAUGCUUAAAAAAAAAAACAAAAAACAAACUA